GCAAGAGACCUGGGGAGUGGAGACUUCCUGAGUGACAGGAGGAGAGAAGGGUAUAGGUUUCAUGGCAUGAUAUGGCUCAAUCCACAGACAAAGGCUGCUGAGCCCAGAACAGCUUAUUGGACGAGCCCCUAUGAGAAGCAGAAAUGUAUAGAAGCAAACUGAACCCAAGGAAAGAUUGGUGAUACUUUGGGAGGGAUGACAGAGGAAGGGGAAACACACUGUCCAUCCCUGUCCCAGCAAGGAGCCAGCUCCCAUUCGGCAGUCCCUCUGAACAUCUAGGUAGCUUCCCCCUUCUUUCUGUCCAGUUGUGAGCAGCCACCAACUAUGAUGCCCCUCUUCCAGCAGGCUUUGCUUUCACAUCACAAAGCAUCAUCCUGAGAAACAAUUACAGUUCUUUUUAGAGUUCUGGUUCCUUCAUAGGUACCUAUUGUCCUAAUAAAUGGAAUUCCUUGGAACACAAAAGCAUUUAUUUCCUCUUUUAGCUAAUUUAAUUUUUACAGCUCUGGUGAAAAAAUAUUUUAUGUUUUUACUCAAUGUGAUUUUAAGAUAGCUUAUUCUUGGAUUCAAUUUUGUUUUCAUUUUCUAGAAAAUCAAUUUAAUUCACAGAAGGUUCAUUCAUUUAGUGGCUUUCCUUGCACAUGGUUAAUGCUUAAGCAUUUGAUCAAGCAUUCCUCUUAGCAAUAUCUUUACAAGGUUCAACCGGAGAAGGUGUUAGAUGGGGGAAAUCCUCUACAUUUGGGCAAAGCCUCUUUCCUCUGGACUAAUUGAAAUGGAAAAUCAGUCUGAAUUGGUGAAAUUGAAUUGCAAACUAUUUUUCAAGGAGAUUCCUGUGUGAUUUCAAGUUGCUCAAACUAAACUUAGAAAAGGGCACACUAACAAAGCUUUUUAAGUUAUCUCCAUCUAGCUUCCUAGUGAAGAGGCUACAUUGUCUGGGUAAAUACCUGGGGUUCGUCAUCUCAUGCCAAGAAAAUUUAGGACACGGACCCACAUGAGGAGUUUAGGAACGGAGAUUUAAUAGGCGAAAGAAAAGGAAAGGAAAACAGCUCGCUCUCUAGAGUGACAGAGAGGAGACUUCUGAGAGGAAAAGGCCAGCUGGCGG
rnacentral:lncRNA from 1 species